AGAGUUUGAUCCUGGCUCAGAACGUACGCUGGCGGCACGCCUAACACAUGCAAGUCGAACGCAGUAGCAAUACUGAGUGGCGAACGGGUGAGUAUAAUGUGGGUAUCUGCCUUUUGGGUUGGAAUAACACGAGGAAACUUGUGCUAAUACCGGAUAAGCCUUCACAGGGAAAGUUUUAACGCCAAAAGAUGAGCCCGCACUUGAUUAGCUAGUUGGUAAGGUAAUGGCUUACCAAGGCUACGAUCAAUAGCUGAUCUGAGAGGAUGAUCAGCCACAUUGGGACUGAGACACGGCCCAAACUUCUACGGAAGGCAGCAGUGGGGAGUCUUGCACAAUGGGGGAAACCCUGAUGUAGCGAUGCCGCGUGAGUGAAGAAGGCCUUUGGGUUGUAAAGCUCUUUCGUCGGGGAAGAAAAUGACUGUACCCGAAUAAGAAGGUCCGGCUAACUUCGUGCCAGCAGCCGCGGUAAUACGAAGGGACCUAGCGUAGUUCGGAAUUACUGGGCUUAAAGGGCACGUAGGUGGUUAAGAAAGUUGGUGGUGAAAUCCCGAGGCUUAACCUUGGAACUGCCACCAAAACUUUUUAACUAGAGUAUGAUUGAGGUAAGCGGAAUUUCUAGUGUAGAGGUGAAAUUCGUAGAUAUUAGAAAGAACACCAAUUGCGAAGGCAGCUUUCUGGAUCAUUACUGACACUGAGGUGCGAAAGCAUGGGUAGCGAAGAGGAUUAGAUACCCUCGUAGUCCAUGCCG
rnacentral:rRNA from 1 species